GUAGGUGAACCUGCGGAAGGAUCAUUAUCGUAGGGCUUCGGCCCUGUCGAGAUAGAACCCUUGCCUUUUUGAGUACCUUUCGUUUCCUCGGCAGGCUCGCCUGCCAAUGGGGACCACAAAAAAACACUUUGCAGUACCUGUAAUAGUCUGAACAAACAAACAAAAAUCAAAACUUUCAACAACGGAUCUCUUGGUUCUG
rnacentral:misc_RNA from 1 species